UGGGAGUGACUAACUCGUCGUCUCGCGUAUGCUACUUCCUUGUCGCUUUCAACAUUCGCGCAAUCUUUAGAUUGUGAUUCAGGAAGAAGCGGUUUCUAGGGGAGAUUACGAUUUUCGCGGCUUCGCGAUUUGAACGAUAUUAUUUAACCCUUUGAAAUCGGAUAUCUCUUCUGCGAGGACAUCGGUUAACUUGGAUUAAAAUUAAUGUGGAAAAAUAAAAAGAAAUCCUAAGGACAUAAGGAAAUCCUAUUCGAGGAAGACUGGUCUUUCUUCAUGUAAACAAAUAAGGACAUUCGCCCUAAACGAUAGUAUAAUUUUUAAAUUUUGUGUCCCCAAUUGUAGACACCAAGUCCGAAAGGGUUAAAAUGUAAUGGCAGCCCUGUUUAAGGUCAUCUAAGUGUCACUAGCUGUCGUUUGUAUUCAAAUACACUCUGACAAUUCAUCAUGGUAAGAUACACGCUUCAAAAACUUUUGUUAAAUUAUAGCCAACCCUAAUUUAAUACAAUUUAUUUCUAAAAGAGGAACAAAUAGAGUCCAAACAAGAAAUAGUCGGAUUGUAAAGGUUAAUACAAAUAUGUAGAAGAAUCUAUGGACUGAUUUAUGCAUUGUCAUUUUGCAAAAUUAUAUGCUUCCUUUUGAUGAAGAAAAGAUAUCUACAGGGUGGUCAUUUCAACGCGAUAAUGACCCUAAACAUUCGUCCAAAUUCGUUAAGACGUUUCUCACGUAACAAAAUAUUAAUGUAAUCGAGUGGUCUAAUCAAUUUCUGGCCUUGAACUGUCAUACUGUUUCAUCUCAAACGAAGCACUUACUUAAUUUUUCUUAAAACUCGCUUGCAGCAAAAAAUCAAGGAAAAAUUAUUUACAGAAUGAUUGGUGGUAAAAGCAGUACUAUUAAUUGAAUCACGAGAUUCAUACUUAUCUUUAUAAAUUAGUUUGAAUAAUAAAUAUAGUCGAAGGAAGAGGAAGGAAGGAAUUUUGUUAUAUAAAAAAGGGAUGCUAACCAUCAUAUCGUAUCAGUUGCUAAAAGAAUAGUACAUCUAUAAUUCUGUCUCCUCGAAUUCGAACGAAACUGUGGACGGGAACAACGAGGGCCUCACCCCCGCGAGUCCUUCCCCUUGAAGGUAUAAGGGGUCAUUGGAAAACUUCCAAUAAGGUAACACGAGGGUUAUUCCCUUUCGUAUACGGUAUUAGCAGAAUAUGUCAAUCGAUGACGUAGCGUUCUGUAACCGAGGAUAAAAAGCAUGUGAAAAUUGAUACUUAAUUAUUUCAUUACAACAUGAUAUUAUUAAAAUGACCCGCCAGUUUUCUUAUAACAAGAUAUAGGAACAAUGCAGUUAGUGUUAUUGCAAUGACUCGACGGUUUAUUUAUAGCAGAUCUAAUAUAACUACCAGUGCAGAAUACGAUUUUAUUUUUCUAUUAAAAAUAAGAGAAUUAAAUCAGAGAAGUAAUACGCAAAUUAUUAUUUUUAAUUUUAGUCCUUUAGAUUGUGAUACUUUCGUAUUUGGAUUACGAAUAUUUUAAUGAGUUAAUGUAAUAAAUAUCUGUUUAUUAAUUUGUAAAUUUUUAAAGUGUUCUUAAACUUUCUUGGAUUUAAUUCUGACUAUCUUUUGAUUUAACAUUUGUUUAUGGACGAGGUAUUUACACUAACAAUUUAUAGUUUUUUCAUGUUUUUCCCUUUACACUACAACAGGAAGUUAGAAAUAAAAAGAAGAAAGUAUUGUCUAUUAAAUUCUCUUUCCUGGAAAAUAAAAUUUGUUAAAAAGCGAGAGAACAUGAAAAUUCUAAUUACUUUUUCACGUUGUAUUAAUUAUACAGACCAGAAUUACAUUAUUCUCUACAAUUCUAAUAAGUUACAACGUUGGACCAAUUAUAUUGUAUCAUUACAUCAGAACACACCAUGACAACGAAAAUUAUUAAGUACCCCAUUGAACAAGCUUUGACUUGGUUUAUUAAUUAAUUCUUUCGUUAAACACAUAUUUCACUUUCGACACUGACGUUCGAAAAUGCUUGAAGUUGUGCUGUACUUAUCGCUACCUAUAGACGGAGCACCAGAGUUAGUAUUAUCACCUUUAAAGUGCCCAUUUUAAGGAAUUUCUUCGCGAUAUCUACCACAGGAAGCCAGCGAAAUGCGAAUUGUUCGAAACGUGCCAGGGGUUAAUACGAGCUACCUAUACGUCGUGUGUGUACAAGGUUCAAUAAGGAAAAGAAGAAACGAAUUCGUUAUUCAUCGACGUGUCAAUCGAAUGUAUAAAAUGCGUGCAAGUUUCUUUAAAAAGCAACGAGCUAGGGAAAUGGAUAUUGACGUUAACGCGAAAGAAGAUUGUAGAAAAAAAAGAGAUUUCGAUAUAAAAAUAUUUUGUUGAAAAGAAAAGAAAGUUUGUGCUGAAGACAAAACUAUAGACCAAGUUAUAAAAUUGUACAAACGGAGAAUCUAAAAUUAAAAUUUUAAUUCUAAAUCUAAACAGUAAUCCAGGUAUUUAAGGGUUAAGACUUAUUUAUAAUUUUUUCAAACACUGUAACAUAAGAAUUUAUGUAAGAAUGGUUUGAAGCAAUCAUUCAUAAGUCUAAAUUUUUUUUACAUUGUUUUUAAACUAUUUUUGUUUGAUAUUCAAAGAUGGUAAAAACUAAAUGAACAAUUCAUAUUUCUUCAUAUUCUUUGUGGUGCGAUUCACAAUCAAUAGAAGCUCAUUAAAAUAUUCAAAAGUGCUAAAGAUAAACUAUCUAAUAUUCCACACAAUCUUAACGAUAUAAUAAUUUGAAACCUAGAGGAGAGGAUAAACAAGUGUCUGAAGGGAAGCCGGUAGUAGAAUUGUGCGCAUACAUAGCCGAUUUUGAGAAAAUAGUAAGAAAGAAGAAAGAGAAAGGCAAUGAGAUUGAAACAGAUGGAAUAGUAGAGGUCGAGGAGAUAGACUAACCGUAACCUAAAAUAACCUAAGAUUCUUAAGAAAGAACAGAAAUAUUUUGAAGGAUGUUAAGACAGUUGUAUGACAAUUCUGUAAUCACACAAAUAAAAUAUUUAAAAACUAAUGAAAUAUUAAAACAACUAAACCAAUGAGUCUACAUUAUAAGAAUAUAAGAUAAGGAAAAGGGGAUAUAAUGUAAGGAAAGGGA